UACUGCAUCAGGAACUGAUUGGC
rnacentral:miRNA from 4 species